CUCUUGUUCUCUUUGUGUUUCCAGCUUCUGACAAGGUGACUUACAAGUAAGAAAAGAGCUAAAAAACAGAAGCUUGACUCAAGAUAGCUUUAAAAGCAAAAACAAUACUGUCAUCAUUGUAGAAGACUAAAAGAAAUGAAAACUAUUUCCUAGAAACUAAACAAAUGCAUCCAUAACAGGAAGUGAAUACAUGUCAGGGACACAGUAAAUUACUGUGCAAAUUGAGAAUAACACAGAAGCUUCCAUUUUGAGAUGAACCCUGAAGAGAAAAACAAUAAUAAUUAAGUUCCUGCUAACAAGGAUCCAG